GACGAACGCUGGCGGCGUGCUUAACACAUGCAAGUCGAGCGGAAAGGCCACUUCGGUGGUACUCGAGCGGCGAACGGGUGAGUAACACGUGAGUAAUCUGCCCCUGGCUUUGGAAUAGCCACCGGAAACGGUGAUUAAUACCGGAUACGACCACUUCUCGCAUGGGAUGGUGGUGGAAAGUUUUUUCGGCCAGGGAUGUGCUCGCGGCCUAUCAGCUUGAUGGUGAGGUAAUGGCUCACCAUGGCUUCGACGGGUAGCCGGCCUGAGAGGGUGACCGGUCACAGUGGGACUGAGCCACGGCCCAGACUCCUACGGGAGGCAGCAGUGGGGAAUAUUGGACAAUGGGCGGAAGCCUGAUCCAGCAACGCCGCGUGAGGGAUGACGGCCUUCGGGUUGUAAACCUCUUUCAGCAGGGACGAAGCGCAAGUGACGGUACCUGCAGAAGAAGCACCGGCCAACUACGUGCCAGCCGCCGCCGUAA
rnacentral:rRNA from 1 species